AUGGCUCGUGGUCCCAAGAAGCAUCUGAAGCUGGUAGCAGCUCCAAAGCACUGGAUGCUGGAUAAAUUGACUGGUGUGUUUGCUCCUCAUCCAUUCACUGGUCCCCACAAGUUGAGAGAGUCUCUCCCCAUCAUCAUUUUCCUAAGGAUCAGACUUAAAUAUGCCCUGACAGGAGAUGAAGUAAAGAAGAUUUGCAUGCAGCAGUUCAUUAAGAUCGAUGGCAAGGUUUGAACUGAUACAACCUACCCUGCUGGAUUCAUGGAUGUCAUCAGCAUUGACAAGAGAGAAUUUCCGUCUGAUCUAUGACACCAAGGAUCGCUUUGCUGUACAUUGUAUUACACCUGAGGAGGCCAAGUACAAGUUGUGCAAACUGAGAAAAAUCUUUGUGGGCACAAAAGGAAUCCCUCACCUGGUGACUCAUGAUGCUUGCACCGUCCGCUACCCUGACCCCUCAUCGAGGUGAAUGAUACCAUUCAGAUUGAUUUGGAGACUGGCAAGAGUAUUGAUUUCAUCGAGUUCGACACUGGUGACUAGAGGUACUAACCUGGGAAGAAUUGGUGUGAUCAUCAACUGAGAGAAGCACCCUGGAUCUUUUGACGUAGUUUAUGUUAAAGAUGCCAAUGGCAACAGCUUUGCCACUCGACUUUUCAACAUUUUUGUUAUUGGCAAGAGCAAUAAACCAUGGAUUUCUCUUUCCCAAGGACAGGAUAUCCGCCUCACCAUCGCUGAAGAGAGAGACAAAGACUGGCGGCCAAACCAAGCAGUGGGUGA
rnacentral:lncRNA from 1 species